UUCAGAGGGGAGGAACAUUAUGCAGGGGGGCCAGGAAGAAUGUGAACAAACAGGCUUUGCUAAGUGUCCCCAGUUUAUUACCAUUACAUCAUACUCGGUCUGCUUCAUCACACUUCUCUGCAACUACCUACUUCAUGAAACACAGCACAAAAAUAUACAGGUUUUACUAUUUCUUUGGGUCAUCCUUUAAUUAUGAAAGCUUUGUCACAUAAAACACAUAUUAAAUAAAUUUGUAUGCUUUUCUUUUCUUAAUCUGUCUUCUGUUAGAGGGGGCUUGGCCAUGAGCCUAGGAUGAAUGAGGAAAAGAUAUUUCUCUUCUCGCACAACAGUGAAUGUUGCUUAUUUCUGCAAAGCUAAGGAAUAAUAUAUUUAGUUGUUGCAAUCUAAAGUUUUUUCUCCAAUCACUGGAAGUUGAGUUUCAUAUAACUUAGAUUGUGUUCAUUUUUCCAGAAGAGCUAACGAAAUAGAAAAAUGUUCAGAAAUUAAAAUAAAAAUUAAUGGAAAUUUUCCCUUUAAUUAAUCACAUCAGCAAAUCAGCACUUUACAUCAAAGUAUUACGUAAUGAGAUUCUAAAUCAUGUUCCCAAGAAUUUCUGUGUAAAACAUUUCCAUAUGGUAAGAGUCUGUAAAAUUUUAUAACACAUUCACAAAUCAUUGUGACAAGUAACACUGGUGUUAAUUUCUUAAAAGUCAAUGUCAUUUUCCCAAUAUAAUUUUAUGAUUUUAUUUCCUUGUGCCUUGAAACUUAAAAAAAAAACAAACCACAUGCCUUCUUAGAAAACUAAAAACAGAUACAUAAUCAUUAACAUAAGUAAACAGAUUGUAUAGUUCUCAUGUACUUAAGGUGAAUUUUAAUACAUUUUUAAAUCUAAAGUAAAGCCUAUAUUCUUAGUCUAUGUUAUGACACUCAUAUUAUUUCUCUUAUGGUACUUAACACAGUUUGUGUGCAUUUUGCAUAUUUAUUUGCUCGUUUAAUCUUUCUUUGACUCCCAAACUACAAACAAAGCCAGCUGAUUCAGGAAAACAAAGACUUUCCAAUUAUUUCAAGCAGAAAGGCAUAUAAAAUUACAGAAUUUGAUGAUUAUAAAAAUGUUAAAAGGGUGGGAGGAGAACAAAUGUAAGUUUUCCACCAGCUUUAAGAAGGUCAGGAAAUUUCAGGAACCACAGGAAACUAUUGGCUAUAUUCAUAGUUUCGUGAAUGUCUGAAACCAGUAAUUAUAGAAAUGGCUUGGAUUGCCCAAAAAAUCUCACAUCUGCUAAAGCUCAGACACCUGCCCAUGGAAUAGUAAUCUGGCUUCUGCCUGUCUUCCAAAUUUUGUGAGAAUGCUUUUUAUUGGCAGAUUCUAAUCUGGAACACUUCUGGCAAAGAAUUCUAGAAAAUGCAGUUCUCAAACUCCUAGCUUCCAUGACAGAGGAAGUCAUUAACCAUAAGGACAAAGAGAAUCGGAGGAGACAACAAGAGAUGAGAAGUUUUUAACCAAUAUGAGAUGGAGGGAAAGGGAAGAAGAAUGAUAAGAGAUUGAGCCGAGAAGAGUCAGGACUCAAGCGAGUGUCUGUCAAGGGACACACCAACAGGGAACAACGAGUGCGUCCUGUGGAACCAAUGAAAGUGAUGCUUUCGGAAACACCAGGACAUUAUUCAACUAUGAAGCAAAGUAAAAUCAGAAGCAGCAAAAAUAUUGUGUUCAGCGAUUUCCUUGCCUAUGCAAAUAUUCUUCUAUUUCUGGAAUGAAAUGAGUGAUCUCCAACUUCAUUAAAAGGAAAACAAUCUUUCAGUGAACCAAACCCUAGACCCAUAAAAAAGGCUUUAUAUAUACAUUUUUCAAAUUGCAAGCAAGGCAAGCCCAUGAAGCCCAUAUUUUGGAUUAUGAUAAGACAAGUGAAUGAAUCCAGGGAGAGACACGGAAGUAGGCAUAGAUGGGGUUCAGGACGCCACAUCUCAAAAUAUGUCACCUUGGCAUUUGCAAAAACAGCAGAAGUGGGAAGUUCUCUUUGACCUUCUCCCCUGAAGCAAGCUAAAAAAGAAUUCUAUGUCCUGAAGUGGGUCUAAAGACCUUCAUUCCAGAAGCAUCCUCCCUAUACCCAGAAGAAAGGAACACUCUUAUCCUUGAAGGCACAGAGAUGUCAAGAAGAAUCGGAACAAGCCAACCUGCCAAGCUCUCCUCAGUUUACUGCCAUCAGAUCACAUUCUUUUGUAUUCUAGUCACGCUUCUGCACAACCACCCGCUCUACCUCAAACUUAGCAUAAAAAUACUACACAGGUUUCACUAUUUUUGAGUCUUCAUUUCUGAAGGCUCCCGUGUCAUGUAAAAUUUAUAUUAAAUAAAUCUGUGUGCUUCUCUCUC